rnacentral:lncRNA from 1 species
AGCAGCAAUUACUGGUGCUGGGAAUGCCCCAGUGUACUUUAAUACAAGCCCACAAUCUGCAGCUCAUCUCAGCAUGUGAAAAAUGUUCAAAUACCUUUCAAAUUGUCGGGUUUAAUCUUUGUUUUUAGGUGUCCUGCCAGGCAUUUCCCAUUUGUGUCCUUAUCCCAGUUUCCAGCCAUCUUCAGAGGCUUCCCAGCUACUGUGUCCUGCAAGUUCAAAACCCUGCAGCCCACUGGGACUGGGAAUGUGUGAAGGAGCACAAGGAUUGGAGUUGAAUGACAGUGUGGCUGCCUGGCUGUUACAAUUUAUCAUGAACGCAUCUCACUUCACUUCUGGCUCCUCUGACGGAAGGAACAGCCGGUCUCCGGGAGGUCAAAGACAUUAUUUUCCCCUAGUCUUUCUCAGUUUCCAGCACAUAUUUGUCACUUUGAAAAAGCAUGAAUUCUGGAUUUGAUGCACUUUAAUUGAUUUCACCCUCAACAAGUCCAACUGUCCAUCAACCUUUCCUUUUUCUUUCCUCUCCCCCUUCUUCACUUCUUUCCUCUGUCCCUUUGCUUUGAGAGUGAUGUUUUCACCCGCCUGCAUGUUGGAGCUGUGGCAAAGCCCAUGACCCUAUCAAGGCUUACUGUCACUAGCCAUUGCACUCAUUCUCCCUUAUCCUCCAAGUUCAACUUUGGAUGCUGAAUGAGAAUGAAGUAGGAGUACUGAGUUGUAGAAUCUCAGUGAUGUGCUCCUUGUCAAAGUAAAAGUGAUGGCUGAUGGUCCACUUAUUUUGAGAUGACUGUGUAGAGCUGGAACUGUGAGGGAACUGAUUCAUUAUAUGCUGGCAUUGGUAUUUAGAGCAUUUUGAAGAGUUAUGGCAUAGAUGAAUGUGUUGUUUCUUCUUUCCUUCUGGAAGGAUGAGUAUUCCUGGUGCUGUGCAUAUAUCCAGGGUUGUGUGGUUGUAAUUUUGGUUUGUAAAGUGGUGUUGUCCCCUCCUAAAUGGAGAUCAUAUCAUACAACAUCCUGAGUUGCAAGGGGUUCACAAGGACCAUCCCAAAAAUCCUGUGAGAUGCCAUUGAACUCUUGUUUGGGGAAUUCUUCUGGCACAAGUGGUGAAACAGAAUAAAUGUGGGUGUGUAAGAACUUGUCCUUUGCA